rnacentral:lncRNA from 1 species
UUGGCACAAAGGAUAAUUAAUCAUACCAUGAAUUGCUGAAGACAGGAGCCUCUGAUUUGCUAUUUCCAGUAAAAGAGGAUUCCGUCUGCAUCAGUUGCAGCAGAAGUUGUGUAUGGCAUGCGUAACUGCUGAAAAACAACUGUCCUAACAGGUAUUUUGACAUCUAAUAUAUUUGUUCUAUUAACUUAAGCU